rnacentral:lncRNA from 1 species
UACUUUGGAGGCUGAGGUGGGAGGAUUGCUAGAGCCUGGAAAGUCGGGCUGCAGUGAGCUGUGAUCAUGCCACUGCCCUCCAGCCUGGGUGACAAAGUAAGACGCUGUUUCAAGGAAAAGAGAGAGAGAGAGAGAGAGACAGACCCACAAGAGUCUUAAGCCAGAAUCUCCAUGUUAAAAUGCUUCUGGAGGCUAAAAGGAUGAUAUGUUGAUAACGAAAUAUUUAAAAGGCAGAAACCCCACUGAAUUGUUUGGUCCACAGAGGGAAAUGGGAAUCGCAUGACCUGAAGGAUGAUGGAGGAACUGAACAGAAACCAUCCUUGUUUCCUGAAUCUGAACAUGGCACCCUCUUUUCACGGUGUCUGUAUCUGCUCAGUCCGGCGGCCCCUCGAAAAGAGGGAAUCUUGGUUUUCAAACUUAAAAUUUGGCCCAAAGCCCACUGCUGCCCACAAUGCCCGCCAGACACAUUCCUCUUCCUUUUUAGUUUCUAUGGGAAUACUCUGUUUGAAGAACCCAUGAAGCAGUGUCAGGCUGGUACGAGGAUCAGCAGUGAUUUCUUUGAGGAAGAGAGCCCAUUUCUUCACUCACAGGCCAUGUCUGAGUGGAUCAAGAAGAACAGAGUGCCCUUUUAUGAGAUUUUGUCUGCGUAGACCAUUAGCUUGGUAAAAAUGUCAAAACCAUCCUCGUUCUUUAAUAGCAGAUUAUUUUGGACUGUUCUCUGCAAGAAGCAGCAUGGGCAUUCAGAUGCUUUUAAGGAUAAAAUGUUCUUUCUCAUCACCAGGCCUGGUGCUCUGGAUGGCUGAGGUUUUAAUGUGACUGGAUGUCCCUUGGAGUGGCUCCCAGGCUGUGCUCUUGUGGUUGGGUGGCAAGGGGUUGCUUUAUUCGUUGGUGGCUAGAGGAUGUUUUAGCAGAUAAAUCGGGCCCCCAGGAGCCCCUGAGUGCCAAGUCCUGUUGCAGGGCAAGUGUUUAUGGUGGGGACGUUUUGGGGGUGGAGGGUGGGGGGCAUUGGUUUCCUGCCAAUAUCAGAAGUUUCACAGGCUUCUUGUGUAUCCAUAAACACCCGCCCCUCUGAGAAGGCCUAGAAAACUUGGCCCUCCCCAAGCCUUUAUUGACCCCUUGUGAAUGAUCCCAGGGUGUCUGACCCACAGCUCCUCCUGGAGGGAGAGAAAAGUCCCUCCUAGGUAUUUGGUUAUCAACCUCAACCACUUGCUGAGCCUUCCUCAAGACCAGGCACCUAGGCAGAGAUUUCUGGGUUGUCAGGCUGAACCGAGCAUUCAAGGGUAAUAAUUCGUUGGAGUCCCUGAAAUCCCUGAUGGACGCACCAGGUAAAAGCAUCCAGGGUUGAAACCAGAUGAGGAAGGUUAUUGUCAGCCUGGGGCUCCUGUAGAGGUGCAUCAACGUUGCAGGGAUUUUCCUUCUUGCUGAGGAGAAACCUGGGUUUCUCAGCUUUGCCACAGUCACAACACUUGGGGUCAGACCAUUCGUGGUGCUGGUGUUGGGGCCAUCCCGUGUUUUGUAGGAUGGUUAGCAGCAUCUCUGGUCUCCAUCCUCUAGGUGCCAUUCUACCCUCCCAGCUAUGGCUACCCCAGAUGUCUCCAGACGGUUUCAAAUGCCAUGGAGCAAGGGAGUGGUACGUGAGCAAAACCACCCCAGUUGAGAGCCAUUGGUCUACACUUGUGGAAAUGUUUGAGGGUGAGAGUGUCGAGCUUAGGUCCCUGCUAUACCCUUUAUCAGCAAUGCAGUCUUGGACAAUUAAUACUACUCCAGGGGCCUCAGGUUUCUCAUCUAUAAAAUGGAGAUAAAU